GGCUCGCAGGCGGUUUCUUAAGUCUGAUGUGAAAGCCCCCGGCUCAACCGGGGAGGGUCAUUGGAAACUGGGAAACUUGAGUGCAGAAGAGGAGAGUGGAAUUCCACGUGUAGCGGUGAAAUGCGUAGAGAUGUGGAGGAACACCAGUGGCGAAGGCGACUCUCUGGUCUGUAACUGACGCUGAGGAGCGAAAGCGUGGGGAGCGAACAGGAUUAGAUACCCUGGUAGUCCACGCCGUAAACGAUGAGUGCUAAGUGUUAGGGGGUUUCCGCCCCUUAGUGCUGCAGCUAACGCAUUAAGCACUCCGCCUGGGGAGUACGGUCGCAAGACUGAAACUCAAAGGAAUUGACGGGGGCCCGCACAAGCGGUGGAGCAUGUGGUUUAAUUCGAAGCAACGCGAAGAACCUUACCAGGUCUUGACAUCCUCUGACAACCCUAGAGAUAGGGCUUUCCCUUCGGGGACAGAGUGACAGGUGGUGCAUGGUUGUCGUCAGCUCGUGUCGUGAGAUGUUGGGUUAAGUCCCGCAACGAGCGCAACCCUUGAUCUUAGUUGCCAGCAUUUAGUUGGGCACUCUAAGGUGACUGCCGGU
rnacentral:rRNA from 1 species